rnacentral:rRNA from 1 species
UACGUAGGGUGCGAGCGUUAAUCGGAAUUACUGGGCGUAAAGCGUGCGCAGGCGGCUUCGCAAGUCAGGCGUGAAAUCCCCGGGCUUAACCUGGGAAUGGCGUCUGAAACUACGGAGCUGGAGUGUGGCAGAGGGAGGUAGAAUUCCACGUGUAGCGGUGAAAUGCGUAGAUAUGUGGAGGAAUACCGAUGGCGAAGGCAGCCUCCUGGGCCAACACUGACGCUCAUGCACGAAAGCGUGGGGAGCAAACAG